AUCCAGGUGGCACAGUGCAUAGAGCACCAGAUUUGAAAUCUGAAAGGCAUGAGUUCAAAUCUGUUCUCAGACA
rnacentral:tRNA from 1 species